CACGCGCAGUUCUCCCUCUUUCUUGGUCUCGGGGUGCUGUCUGUGUUGUGUGCUGCUUAUGGCCCCGCCGUUCAACAUGCAUCAGCUACACUCUUCCUUCUUGUGGCUUCAGUACAGAUCUGCCCCCGAAUGUGGAGACUUAAAGCUACUUCUUCCCAAGAAUUUGAAUCCUGCACUUCAGAGAUACAUAGAAGAAACAUCACCUGGUGAGAAAUAUGCACUUCAUGUUGAGGUGUCUUCCACUGAGCUGUUUAAACAUGCACUGAGAGAUGAAACUAAGCUGUUACAAGAUGGAUGCUACUUUUGUCUGUGCUGCGUUUGAGAGAUUGCUUUUAGAGAUGCUUGCAAAUUCAUUUUGUUCUUCAAAAAUGUGAGGCGAAGAUUAGUACCACUUCCAGAUGUUUCGCAUUGUGAAGUACUUGUUUUAACUUCCUAAGUAUUAGGACUUCAACAUAGGCUUGUGUGAUGGAACUGGGAAGUGAUGGACCUGGUAGUGCUCCCAGCAAAAGUAAGUUGCUAACACAUGAGUGACUGGUCAGAACCGUGUGAUACAGGGAAUGAGAAAGUUACUGGAUUCUUACCUUUACAGUGCAGCUGCAGCAUUAAGCAGAGCUCUUGAUGAUUUUAUUACACUUUCCAGGUAAAAAGCUCACAGAUUUGCCAGCAGCCUGUAGGAUUCAUUCACCCAAAGUGCUGCAUAUUUCAAAAUUACCUGCUUUCUGUGACUAAAAACAAAUAGUGGUGGCCAUUUAAAAUGUGUGACUGCUGUGGACUAUUUAAAUUCCUAUUUGAUAAGAAAAGCUCUAUGCUACCAUGUUGCCACACAUUCUGGGCUGAACAAAUGCAAUACAAUUACCUGCUAUUAAACUUGCUGUUUAAAUUUAGUGGACUCUUCCAGGGAGUAGCACUGAUCUUGAAUGCUUGUGGUAAAUAGUUUAUCUCAAUGGCUAGAUCAGAGCUCUUACAGUGAAGUGAAUGAAGAUAUGGUUGGGAGUAUGGUCCCAAAUUUCAAGGUCAGAUCCCCUUUAAAGGACAAACCAGAGAUGUAACAUUAAUCUGGUCUUGGCAUGUACUGUUUGUGAUGAAUUCAGAGCAAUGGGAAUCUCUCUGAAAGAGGCUGAGGAGAACUCUUGUGCUGAAACAGUACCCACAAUCACACUCUCAAACCACUGCCAAAAAUGUGCUAGUACAAUUUCACAUUGUCACAGGGUGAAGCUUGCAUGGAGUUUGAGAAACAAGAUAGAUGUGUCUGAGGUAAGUGUAGAAUACAUGGGGUUUAAUAAUUUCUGGAAUAGUGUCUUUGCACUGAAUGUUUUAAUAGUGGUGCCUAGAAUUAGUCCUAUAAGAUACCUGCAUUGUCUUCCCUUUAUUGUAUGUGGCUGUUCUGUGGGCACUACUGUAACAUGGUACUCUGGAAUUAAAAUUAAAAAAGUCCCUGAUUCUUCCAAUGUUAGUAGUUUUGUAUUUCCAAUUAAGUUAGGAUUUGUAAGUUUUGUGUAUUCUAUUUGGGUGUUGUAAGUUGAACUCAUAAGAUGGCAGCUAAAAGUCAGUUUCCUUUUAGGUAAAAUAGUUUGGUGAAUAGAAAUUCAUGGAUAAAUAAACUUUGCAUAUAUAAUGCUGCUGUUAUUCUGAAAGUACUUUUCUUUGUCAGGAAGGGACUUCUGACUGCAGCCUCACUGUGGGUAAAGAGGCAACUCUGAAACUGGCACAUGAAGAGUUGAGAAGGUGGAAGAUUGCUCAUAAAUGGGUUACACUUGCAUGAACAGCACUGAAAAAGCCAGUGUGUUCUUACCUCACUGGUAAUGUUUGCCUGAUGCUGAUUGGAGCCAAUAAAAAUCUGCAAACUCUA